ensembl:lncRNA
CUGCAGUGCUGCUGUAUUGCUGUGCUGCAGUGCUGCUCAUGCUGCAGUUUGUUGCCUGUUACUGCAGUUAUUGCUGUGCUGCAGUGCUGCUGUGCUACUUCAUGCUGCCCAGUGCAUGCUGUACUUGCAGUGGUGCCGUGCUGCUCAUGCUGCAGUGUUGCAGCUGCUGCAGCUCACCCUGCUCCAUCUCAUCCCCUCCACACAUCUCAGCUCAGCUCAGCCCCCGCAGCCGCUGCCACGACGCAGCACAGGUCGAUCCACCCCAUUGAUACAGGUCAGUCCGCCCCAUUGAUACAGGUCAGUCCACCCCAUUGAUACAGGUCUGUCCACCCCAUUGAUACAGGUCUGUCCAUGCCAUUGAGGAUGUUGUGUUCAUUUUGCAGCACCAGCUGCAGCCCCAUGCGAUGCAUGUUGGGUUCAUCUUGCAGCCUGCAGCUCCAUGCGAUGCAUGUUGGGUUCAUCUUGCAGCACCAGCUGCAGCCCCAUGCGAUGCAUGUUAGGUUCAUCUUGCAGCCUGCAGCUCUGUGCAAUGCAGCCCGGCCUCCUCCCAGCUGGGAGCUGCUGCUGCUGCUGCUGCUGGUGGGGGAUGCAUGUGCAGCACAGCAGGACGGGCUGCACCUCCUGCUCCUGCUGCUCCUGCUGCUCCUGCUGCACAGCUGCGUCCCACUGCGGCUUCCUGCCCUGCACACACACACACACACACACACACACACACACACACGUGAUGGAGCAGCAGCAGGGGCAGGAAGGCGGCGGUUCCUAUUUCCUCACAUUGUAGGCGAGUUUUUUUUGCUGCUUUGUUGUUAUUUUGGUUUAAUUUCUUUCCUUUCUGAGCCUCGCGAGGCCGACGCGACGCGAUGGAGCAACAGAGCAAACAACGCAGUCAGAACAUCCCAAUGCGUGGGGGUGCAGAGCAAAGGGAGCAGAGCAAACAAUGCAAAGUCAUUGCAACACAUGGGGGUGCAGAGCAAAAGGAGCAGAGCAAACAGCUCCAAGAACAGAGCAAAUAAUGCANNCAAACUCAUCCCAACACAUGGGGGUGCAGAGCAAACGGAGCAGAGCAAACAACGCAAAGUCAUUGCAACACAUGGGGGUGCAGAGCAAAAGGAACAGAGCAAACAACGCAAACUCAUCCCAACACAUGGGAAUGCAGAAGGAACAGAGCAAACAACUCCAAGAACAGAGCAAACAAUGCAAUCAAACUCAGUGCAACACAUGGGAGUGCAGAGCAAAAGGAGCAGACACAAUGCAAUUAAACUCAUCCCAACAAAUAGGGGUGCAGAGCAAAGGAAGCAGCCCUUGCAGCUCCAAGAACAGAGCAAACAAUGCAAACAAACUCAUCCCAACAACAAAUGGGAGUGCAGAGCAAAAGGAGCAGCCCUUGCAACUCCAAGAACAGAGCAAAUAAUGCAGUCAAACUCAUUGCAACAACAAAUGGGAGUGCAGAGCAAAAGGAACAGCCCUUGCAACCCCAAGAACAGAGCAAACAAUGCAGUUGAAACUCAUCCCAAAAGCAAAUGGGAAUGAAGAGCAAAGGGAGCAGAGCAAACAACUCCGAGAACAGAACAAACAAUGCAAUCAAACUCAUCCCAACAAAUGGGAGUGCAGAAGGAACAGAUGCAAAUGGGAAUGCAAAAGGAACAGCCUUUGCAACUCUGUGCCUUUGCAACUCCAAGAACAGAGCAAACAAUGCAAACAAACUCAUCCCAACAAAUAAUGGGAAUGCAGAGCAAAACAAACAGCCCUUGCAACUCCAUGUUCCAGCACCCAGGCCCAGCUCUGCACCUCCAAGCAAAGCAACCCCCAAUGCAUCACGUUGCACCUCCCAGCAAAGCAACCCCCAAUGAAUCAUCUUGCACCUCCAAGCAAAGCAAAGCAACCCCCAAUGCAUCACCUUGCACCUCCCAGCAGAGCAGCAAGGCUCCGCUCUGCACCUCCAAGCAAAGCAACCCCCAAUGCAUCACGUUGCACCUCCCAGCAGAGCAGCAAUGCUCCCCAAUGCACCUCCCAGCACUGCAGCCCCCAAUGCAUCACGUUGCACCUCNCCCCAAUGCAUCACGUUGCACCUCCCAGCAGAGCAGCAAUGCUCCCCAAUGCACCUCCCAGCACUGCAGCCCCCAAUGCAUCACGUUGCACCUCCCAGCUCUGCAGCCCCCAAUGCAUCACGUUGCACCUCCCAGCACUGCAGCCCCCAAUGCAUCCCCUGCAUCAGCUGCACUGAGGCUGCACCCAGCCCCAGACGUGAGCAUCACCUUGCACCUGCAAGCAGAGCAGCCCCCAAUGCAUCACGUUGCACCUGCAAGCAGAGCAGCAAUGCUCCCCAAUGCACCUCCCAGCAAAGCAACCCCCAAUGCAUCACGUUGCACCCCCCAGCACUGCAGCCCCCAAUGCAUCACGUUGCAGCUCCCAGCACUGCAGCCCCCCAUGCAUCAUCCCCUGCAUCAGCUGCACUGAGGCUGCACCCAGUCCCAGAUGUGAGCAUCACCUUGCACCUGCAA